GUGCCAUCUUGUAUUCACCCGCCACGAAUUCGAGAGGUAUGGACGCAUCGAACGACAGCUAUUUGCUACGACCUAGUUACUGCUCUAUUCAGCGACGAAGAGUUGUAUUAAAAUUUCCGAGCCAACUAGAGCAACAUUCACAUUCUGUGUUAAAUUUUUUUUAAACUUUUUUUUUUUAAAUUUUUGGCAAGUUGUGGUUUUUCGCCGCUUGCUGCCAUGUUGGAAAGAGGACAAUUUGUUUUGCGCAUGCUCGAAGUCGAACACAUUUUUUAUUUUUUUUCGAAAUUUGGGCACGGCACCCCUUGCUAGACGUGCCGAGACUACCUCGUGAGAAAGUCUCGGCACGUUUAAAUUUUGCGGCACCGAUGCCGAUUUUUGUCACGUUUAC